rnacentral:sRNA from 1 species
GCACUGCGCAUGCGGGAAGAUGGCGGGCCGGGCGACUUGAGAGCCGCGGGUCUCCCUCCUCCUUUUCCGUCUGCGUCGGGAGCUCCCGGGCACGUGAGGCCGUGCCGCGUUUGCUGGCGGGCGGGACGGCCUAGUCGGGCGGCGCCUCGGAGGAGGCCGCGGACCCGUUAGGUACUGGGCCCUUGGAAAUCGGCGCGUGGGGGGCGGUGCUCGACCUGAGCGCGAGAGGGCGGGAGAGCUCGUGGGGUGCGAGGGGAGCAGGACGCCCGGCCGGGCAGCAUGAGUCAGCAGCGGCCGGCGAGGAAGUUACCCAGUCUCCUCCUGGACCCGACGGAGGAGACAGUUCGCCGUCGGUGCCGAGACCCCAUCAACGUGGAGGGCCUGCUGCCAUCAAAAAUAAGGAUUAAUUUAGAAGAUAAUGUACAAUAUGUGUCCAUGAGAAGUAAGUUGAUUCCUGAAUAGGUUUUAGGUUUUGUUAGUUUGAACUUCAUAUGAUUAAAAUGAUUUGUUUAAGUGUAUGAGUUGAUGAGAAACUGAAAUAAAAUUUGUUAUUUAUACACUGAAAUGUAAAGUUGCAAGUUUUAGUAACAACUCCUGAAGUUAUGGGUUG